rnacentral:rRNA from 1 species
UACGGAGGGUGCAAGCGUUAUCCGGAUUUACUGGGUUUAAAGGGUGCGUAGGUGGAUAAUUAAGUCAGUGGUGAAAUCUUCAGGCUUAACCUGGAAACUGCCAUUGAUACUAUUUGUCUUGAAUACUUUGGAGGUAAGCGGAAUAUGUCAUGUAGCGGUGAAAUGCUUAGAUAUGACAUAGAAACACCAAUUGCGAAGGCAGCUUACUACACAGUAAUUGACACUGAGGCACGAAAGCGUGGGGAUCAAACAGG